UACGUAGGUGGCAAGCGUUGUCCGGAUUUACUGGGCGUAAAGAGCGCGCAGGCGGUCGUUCAAGUCGAGUGUGAAAGCCCCCGGCUCAACUGGGGAGGGUCACUCGAUACUGAUCGACUCGAAGGCAGAAGAGGGAAGCGGAAUUCCCGGUGUAGUGGUGAAAUGCGUAGAUAUCGGGAGGAACACCAGUGGCGAAGGCGGCGAUCUGGGAAGAUACUGACGCUGAGGUGCGAAAGCGUGGGGAGCAAACAGG
rnacentral:rRNA from 1 species